rnacentral:rRNA from 1 species
AGUGAACGCUGGCGACGUGCUUAACACGUGCAAGUCGAACGAGAACGGGUUAUAGCUUGCUAUAAUUGUCAGCUAAGUGGCGCACGGGUGAGUAAUGUGUAGGUAAUAUGCCUCUUACUAAGGGAUAACAAUUGGAAACGAUUGCUAAUACCUUAUAUUCCUUUUUAUCAAAAGAUAAAAAGGGAAAGAUUUAUUGGUAAGAGAUUAGCCUGUAUUGUAUCAGUUAGUUGGUGGGGUAAUGGCCUACCAAGACGAUGACGCAUAACUGGUUUGAGAGGAUGAUCAGUCACACUGGAACUGAGACACGGUCCAGACUCCUACGGGAGGCAGCAGUGGGGAAUAUUGCACAAUGGACGAAAGUCUGAUGCAGCAACGCCGCGUGGAGGAUGACACAUUUCGGUGCGUAAACUCCUUUUAUAUAAGAAGAUAAUGACGGUAUUAUAUGAAUAAGCACCGGCUAACUCCGUGCCAGCCGCCGCAGUAA